rnacentral:rRNA from 1 species
GACAGAGGGUGCAAACGUUUGUUCGGAAUUACUGGGCGUAAAGCGUGUGUAGGCGGUCUCUUAAGUCGGAUGUGAAAGCCCCGGGCUCAACCCGGGAAGUGCACUCGAAACUGGGAGGCUAGAGUACUGGAGAGGUUGGUGGAAUUCUCGGUGUAGAGGUGAAAUUCGUAGAUAUCGAGAGGAACACCGGUGGCGAAGGCGGCCAACUGGACAGAUACUGACGCUGAGACACGAAAGCGUGGGGAGCAAACAGG